rnacentral:lncRNA from 1 species
CAGUGAUGCACUGCAUUCCACUGUCUGAUUUUAAAACCUCUGUAGGGAAGUUGCUGUAAGAAACUGAAAUGCAAUUUCCUUGCAAUAAAAUUCUUUCUUAGUCAUGACCCAGCCCUAAAGGGUUAUGGGCUCCGGCAAGCAGUUAGUUACUCACUCUCUCCUUUCUGGUCUAAAUUGGGUUGGAAUAUAUAUCAAAGGAAGCCAGAAAGUGGUUGGGGAGAUUAAAAAAAACAACAACAACAACGUUUAGACUGAAUGUCUUGACGGUCCAUCCAUUCACUUCUGCUUUGAAAAUGGAAUGUCUCAUUAAAUGACAUCAAAGCCUGAUUCUGCAAUUAAAAAAGCGUUUAUAUUAACUGGAUUUUGAAAAGAGAAAAGAACAAUAAAACCACCCCCCAAUUCUUCAAACAACAAAAGAGGAAACACAGCAACCCCCUUCCCCAAAUUUUGGCAUUUGUUCACCUCUUUUAACCCUUGCUUUUUUGUAAAAUAACUUAUGGAGAAAUUGUUGUGAGCAAAAGGUCUUAAUUGCAAAAAAAAAAAAAAAUCCUUUUAGGAGUGUUUAAAAUAAAAUGACAGAGUAUAUUUAUGGAGCCUGGACAAUGCAUCCUUUUCUCAUAUUUUCCAGUUUUGUAAUGCCUAAGUACUCGUCUAGAAUCUGAAUUUAGUAAUGCCAAUAUUGGACUCUUUCACAUACAUUCUAUAGAGUUAUUAGUAAACUCAUGACAACCAACUAACCAACCAGGCAAACAAAAACAUAUUUAGAAACCCAAGCUGUAAGGCACAGCUCAUGCACACACACACAAAAUUUCAUCCCAAAAUAUGUAUGAACUUUGAGGGAACAAUCAGCACUCUAAAGCAGCCGAACCCCCUGCACAGUUAGGAAUGAGCGGGCUUCUGGCAGUGUCUUUUAAAAAGGCACAGAGAUUUGCGUAUAGACAUAUUUCUAGUGCAUCAAUGACAGGUGGCUCUUCCCCAUCUAAGCAGGAUGGAUGGAGGGAGUUAGGUACAAUGGCUUAUAAUUUUCAAAUACUGUAAUUUUUUUUGUAAAGAUGGAAACCAUUAUUUUUUAAAAGCAUGUGGUUUCAAUAGUGCAUAUUUGAUUUAUGACUAAGAAUUCUUUUUCUCCAUGCCAUAUUAGUACCCUCACUUAAUUAAAUAGUUUUCUUUUUUGAAACUUAGAUUGGACAGAAAUCUGUUUUACCAAGGUAGUGAAUAUGGCUUUGUCAAAAUCUCUGUGUGUUUGUGUGUGUGUAUGUUGAAAUAAGUGCAGAAUUGAGAUAAUGAUGUGGAC